AUAAUAUGCAGGAUUUUCCUAAACAACAAUGUAUAGACUAAUACAAAUGUAAUCCCUCUUAAUCAUCACUUAUGACCCACUAGAAGUGUGUGGCGGUGUCUGUAUUUGCAGAGACCCCGCCCUCUGCCUGAAUUUUCUUCUUAUUUUUUACAUUGUUGUGUG